CUCUUACAUCGGCCAGCGGCAUUCUACCAUAACCCAGCGGCGCAUCAGCUACAUCGUGAUGGAGAUCCGACCAUACCUCAACAUCUAACGAAUAGGGUUUCUACCCUCGAAGAAAGGGCAUGACUGUGAAGAAGUCAAAGAGACACAGGAGUUCACCAAAGUUUUCAUUGGGAAGGGAAAAUUUGAGCUAUGAACUAAGGAUUCAACCCAGAGCAUGAAUCUUGGUUGACUAUAUGCUUAUUGUUUCCUUUAUUAUACUGGUAUUAUGUUUCAGGUUCCUAUAAUGUUGCGGUCUAGUUAUUGUACGUUGUACCAGAAUUCAGAAAAAGAUCUAACAGAACUCAGGGAAUGUCCAUAUGACCAAGGUGGAUAUUGUGACUGAUUCUGUCUUGUGCCUUACCAUGCUAGUGCUAAAGUUUGGCAUUCCUUGUGGUCUGCAGGGCUCUUCAGGGCAGUAUAUUUGGGCUACUCUUCCUUAUAUUCGGACAGAAAUCCCAAUAAUUAUUGUGUUUCGAGCAUUAGGGUUUGUUGCCGACAAGGAUAUAUUAGAGCAUAUAUGCUAUGACUUUUCUGAUACUCAGAUGAUGGAAUUAAUACCAUCUAAUGCAAUUCCAUACCAUUUAAUCCCGUGGUCCAUACUCAGUUAUUCUUAAGUAUUCACUGCAUGUUUCGUUGGCCAUUGGAAAAGGUCCUAGUGGCCUGGAUAUCUGUAGAGAUAUUUCAUAAUUAGCUAAAGAAGUCCAUCUAACAUCAAGAUCCAUAGAUGUUGAAGUUGCGAAGUUGGAGGGCCAUGAUAAUAUUUGGCAGCAUCCGGUGAUAAAGUCCAUUCAUUAAGACAGAACAGUGCUAUUUCAUGAUGGAUCAUCAGUUUUUGCAGAUGUCAUCUUCCAUUGUACAGGGUAUUAAAGCUACUUAUUUAUCAGUUUCUUCAAUUCUUCCAUUUUCUUUGUUAAAUCCAUAUUGAUGUUUUUUAGGGAGGCUUACGGGUUCCUCUUGGAGAUAGAAGCCCUCAGUUUAAAAGGCCAGCUAGAUCAGAUUGUCAACAUAUCUUAGAGACAUCCAGUUUCAUCCAUGUCA